UCUCCUGUGUGAGCAUUCUCUCCUGUGUGAGCAUUCUCUCCUGUGCGAGCAUUCUCUCUAAGGAACUCUGCAUUUGCAGAUAAGCAAGUUAAGGUGACAUCGCCAGGGUGGGAUGAAAUCUGAGUCAUGUCCUUGUAUAAGGGGGACACAAGCAUAGGUGAACAUGGUGACCUGGAGAUCCACAGAGAGGCAACCGUGUGAUGCUGAAGGCGGAGACUGAAAUGACAGUUGCAGGCCCAGGAGUGCUAACAGUUGUCAGCUAGCGCCAGAAGCCAGGAAACUAGGAAGGAAUCUACUCAAGGUCUCACAGGGAGCGGGGCUGGUUCAGCAUCUUGGUCUUAAGACUUCUGACUUCUGGAGGUGCUUGAGAGCCGUUCAAUUGUUUGGAGGCCCCUGACUUACGAGGUUUGUUGGAGCAGCUCUUGUGGGCCCUUUAAAUAUGGGGAUGAUUUGAAUCGAGACUGGAUGACAAAACAAAUCAAGCCCAUAGCAUUACUGUGGUGUAAAAUAUGGGGCAAUUUCCGUGGAUUAGUGUUUGUCUUAGCCAAAUAAUCUGUGCAUAUUAGAACAUCUGCAUUCUUCCCUGGAAGCAGGGCUGGCACACAGUUUGUGGGCAGGUGGCUUAUUGUAAUACAGAAUUGCGAGCAAUAGAAUCAAACAAUAAAACUGGGGGCAUCAGUGAGAGGGUCCCUGCUGUGAACAUCUGAGGCUCUGUUUAGCUCAGCAUCUUGGAGGAAUCCUGUGGAAUGCGUCUCAGAUUUUCCUUCUCUGUCUUCUUUUUCUCACCUGAGUUCUCUUUCAGGGUGUCAAAUCAUUUGAAUUUCUGGAUCCGGGCAUGGGUGAGUGUUGAGCGCUUCCCAGAAGCCCUUGGCCUUGGGAAGGAGUGUGAGUCAAAAAGCAAAUUGUUAAGGCUGGCGAUCCUUCCCCUCCGAGGCUCAAGCUCACCCGGAUAAGAGAGAGCUGUUCUCAAGAUUCCAGGAAUACCCAGCCUGUGGAGAGGUUACCCCGUGGUAGGGCUGUCUGCCUCAGUAGGAGAAACCGUGUCAUGUGGCGAAGUGGAUUGGCCCCUCACACAGUACUGACUUUUCUGAGUCAGGAGGACCUCACAGAUCAGACCUGAGACUUGGCUUCGUGGUCUGAACUAGCUCGUCUUCCUUUGGAAAAGAUGUAUGAUUCUCCAUUCUGGAAAAACAGAAUAAGACAAGACAAUGACGAGACAGCAGCAGCAGCAGCAGCAGCAGCAGCAGCAACAACAACAAAACAAACCAGCUUUUCCCUGAAGGCUCUCCUCUAGAUAUUCACCUCUUCAGUCCAGAUCAACUCCUUGCUGUAUCUGAGAUCUGUCAUGGAUCUUUCCACCUGCUCACCAUCUCUGUCUCUCAGAGGGCUCUUGCAAAUUCUCACAUUUACCAUCCAUGUCACUAAGCCUUGUCCGAAGGCCAUCACUUCCUGAGCUCAUGCUAGAGAAGUGUAUUGUCUCUUUGAGGUAACCUAGUUGUUUUGUGAUCUCAAUGGAAUUGAUGUGGUGGAUAAAGGUUGCCACCCUAAGACAGUCUGGACUUGGGGUGAGGUGGGGCAGAGUAGCAAAGCUUUGCUGACCUUCGAUUAUUGCGUUUGGAGGGCCAUCUGACACUCGCCCAAGAGUUAUAGCCUUAGCUCUCUGAGCUGGUCCAUCAGGUCUUUAAAGGAUGAAGCUGUAUUUGCACAGCCCUACAGAAGAUUGACAGUGUGCAGGUCUUUACAAUUAUGAGUUCAUCUUGACCUGAUUUUUCAAGUUAAGGGACAAGUUGCAUGAAUGUGACAAUGUCCCCCCUCCCCCCAGACACAUACAAACAUUAAAUCAGGGAACGUACUUGACAGCAACUUUUACUUUUAGAGUCAGGCUAAAUUUUCCUCUGCAUGCUCAGGGUAGACAGCCCUCAUUAUCAAGUCUAAUAAAUAAAUCACAGCUCAGAGCCAUGAGUCUCCAAUGUAAAAUGCAAUGUCUGGCACCACUGGAGAUAAAAUAA